rnacentral:rRNA from 1 species
AGUGAACGCUGGCGGUAGGCCUAACACAUGCAAGUCGAACGGCAGCACAGUAAGAGCUUGCUCUUACGGGUGGCGAGUGGCGGACGGGUAAGGACUACAUCGGAAUCUACUUUUUCGUGGGGGAUAACGUAGGGAAACUUACGCUAAUACCGCAUACGACCUACGGGUGAAAGCAGGGGAUCUUCGCACCUUGCGCGAUUGAAUGAGCCGAUGUCGGAUUAGCUAGUUGGCGGGGUAAAGGCCCACCAAGGCGACGAUCCGUAGCUGGUCUGAGAGGAUGAUCAGACACACUGGAAGUGAGACACGGUCCAGACUCCUACGGGAGGCAGCAGUGGGGAAUAUUGGACAAUGGGCGCAAGCCUGAUCCAGCCAUACCGCGUGGGUGAAGAAGGACUUCGGGUUGUAAAGCCCUGUUGUUGGGAAAGAAAAGCAGCAGGUUAAUACCCCGCUGUUCUGACGGUACCCAAAGAAUAAGCACCGGCUAACUUCGUG